AAGUCGUAACAAGGUUUCUGUAGGUGAACCUGCAGAAGGAUCAUUAGUGAAGAUUCAAGGGCCAGCCAUACAGACGUACAAUAAGUGUGUCUCUGGCGGCUCGCAUCCACUAUACAUCCAUAAACCCGUGUGCACUGUUCUAAGGAGUAAGAAAGAAGAAGAAGGGGAGGGGAGAGAGAGUGCAUGUGCUUUGCAUAUAACUCUCUCUCACUCUCCACUCUCUUUCUCUCUCCGGUUAAUUACAAACUCGUAUGGAUUUGUAUGAACGUGAGAUAUAUCGUUGGACCGUCACUGGCCAACAAAUAUAACACAACUUUCGACAACGGAUCUCUUGGUUCUCC
rnacentral:misc_RNA from 1 species